rnacentral:rRNA from 1 species
GAUGAACGCUAGCUACAGGCUUGACACAUGCAAGUCGAGGGGAAACGACAUCGAAAGCUUGCUUCCGAUGGGCGUCGACCGGCGCACGGGUGAGUAACGCGUAUCCAACCUGCCCACCACUUGGGGAUAACCUUGCGAAAGUAAGGCUAAUACCCAAUGAUAUCUCUAGAAGACAUCUGAAAGAGAUUAAAGAUUUAUCGGUGAUGGAUGGGGAUGCGUCUGAUUAGCUUGUUGGCGGGGUAACGGCCCACCAAGGCGACGAUCAGUAGGGGUUCUGGGAGGAAGGUCCCCCACAUUGGAACUGAGACACGGUCCAAACUCCUACGGGAGGCAGCAGUGAGGAAUAUUGGUCAAUGGACGAGAGUCUGAACCAGCCAAGUAGCGUGCAGGAAGACGGCCCUAUGGGUUGUAAACUGCUUUUAUAAGGGAAUAAAGUGAGUCUCGUGAGACUUUUUGCAUGUACCUUAUGAAUAAGGACCGGCUAAUCCCGUGCCAGCCGCCGCGGUAA